AAUCCUCACAACAUAGUUACCUGCUGCCACUUCUGUCAUGUUGAAACAAUUGUGUUUACCGUCACAGGUAGAAAGAAGAAGAAGCUCGGUUUGCCACCAGAAGAUCCCGCUUCCCCCAAACCUUCUACUGCACCUGUUGUGGAGGAAAAGAGCUCAUUUUUGCCUGUCAGACCAGCUACAAAGGCAGAGCUGAUGAGAGAGUGCCUGUGAACUCUUAAACAAACCCACAAGGAUGAUGAUGCCAAUGUCAAGACUGCUUUCAACACGUUGCUAACUUAUGCAAAGAUUGUCGCUACAAAUCCCAAUGAGGAGAAAUUUCGCAAGAUUAGACUUAGUAAUGCUGCUUUUCAGAUUAGAUGUUAUCAAGAAAUAGUUGUGCCUUGAUUUUGUUCUUUAGUUACACUUCUGAAAUGACUCCUUCACUCCUUGAAAUUCUAUAAGAGAAACCUCAUUUAAUCCUUUCUUU